UACGUAGGGUGCGAGCGUUAAUCGGAAUUACUGGGCGUAAAGCGUGCGCAGGCGGUUUUGUAAGCCAGAUGUGAAAUCCCCGGGCUUAACCUGGGAAUGGCAUUUGGGACUGCAAGGCUGGAGUGCGGCAGAGGAGACUGGAAUUCCUGGUGUAGCAGUGAAAUGCGUAGAUAUCAGGAGGAAUACCGAUGGCGAAGGCAGGUCUCGUGG
rnacentral:rRNA from 1 species